CCGAGUGGUGUGGAUGUUUAUUGGGCCUAAAGCAUCCGUAGCUGGCUGAGUUAGUCCCCUGUUAAAUCCACCGAAUCAAUCGUUGGAUUGCGGGGGAUACUGCUCGGCUAGGGGACGGGAGAGGCAGACGGUAUUUCCGGGGUAAGGGUGAAAUCUUAUAAUCCCGGGAAGACCACCAGUGGCGAAGGCUGUCGG
rnacentral:rRNA from 1 species